CAUAACUUUUGAUCUAGAGCUCCGAUUGCCGCUCCGUUUGCGGCCACGCGUUCACCGCGGAGAGCUCUACAAAACCCAUACAACUAAUCUUGAGGUAAGCCACGUGUUUCUGUUCGAAAUUUCAGCCCUUAUUUUCGAGUUUCAUGGGUAAAAUGUUGAGAUUUUGGGUUCUUUGAUGUUAUAGGACCCAACUCUCUUGAAGGAGAAGGUUAAUGUUGUCUCCUUGGACCUUGGGUGUGGUUGUGUAUGUGUGGGUAUUGGAGCUUGAUUGGUGACUUUGAAAAGCUUGGAAAGGGUUUGGUGGUGAAAAAUCUGUUCUUGGAGGUGUUGAGGCCUUGAGAGCUUGUGGAUAAGUGGUUUGGAAGUGCUCCGGGGGAGCUUGGGAAAAUCGGCUAAGGUAUGGUUUCGGUUUCCCGUAUCUAAUAUGUAAUGUGGUAGGAAAUACUUAGGCUAGAGGCCCUAAGAUAGGCAUUGAAUUGUUGAUGUUGUUGAAUGAUUGAGAUAUAUGAUGUGGUCAUAUAUGUGAUGAUGAUUAUUAAGGCCUUAGUGGUAUGAUGUAUGAGAAAUAUGCAUGUUGUGAUAUAUACUUGAUGAUUGGUUAUGGUUGAAUUGUGGGUUGAACCAUGUUGAUGGUGAGUAUGAUGUUGAUUGUG